GUGACAUCAGCGGUCAUGGAGAGUCUCCAUCCAGCUGGAUCACUGUCACAGACAAACACACCACCACACCUCCACCUACAUCUACACCUCCACACGUGUCAAAUGUCCUUGUCAUCCUCCCUGUGUUGAUUGCUGCAUCAGUCUGUGUUUUGGUUCUUCUGGUGAUACUGGUCCUGCUGAUGAGACGACUUGUUCAUAGGAAACCUGAAGACAUUGAUAUAGAUGCAGUCUACUCAACAGCAAGAACAGAAGACAUCAAAAACAAGGACAACAAGUCAAAGAUCAGAGACACAGAAUCAGUUGCAGUUUACUCAGCAAUGAGAACUGAAGGCAUCAUUCAUGGGCUAAAAACCAUCAGAACAAGAAGGCCCAGAUGUUAAACCAGAGCCAGACGUCGUCUACUCUUCACUGAAGUAGUCCACCAGUCCAACCACUGACGUCCAGCUGCUGGUCUUUAAUCCCCCUGCAACACAGAUCAGAAGACAGCUACAUGUUGAAAAGAUGCGUAUACAAUUUAUGUCUUUUUCUUGUGUAAACUCAAAAAUCUAAUCUAAUUUUUUUAGGUUAAAAACUUUUAUUAUUAUGUUGUUAUUAUGUUUUAUGUCCUCAGAAACGUCUCUGUUAUAUAGAUAUUAGUCAUGCUUGUUGGAUCUCUCUCUUGUUUCUGUGGCAGC